GGUACUCCAAUUUUAUUUGCUAUCUAUCUAUAAUAUCUAUUUGGAGUCCAAUAAGUUGUUUCCUAGCAUUUAGGCUAUAGGAUUAGUGGAAUCAAUUUAGAUCAAACAUUACGUAAUUCUAGGCUCAUUAACCUAUCAAAUCCUUUGAAGGUUGUGUUGAACAAGUUGCAUUGAAAAAUGCUCGAGAAAGUGAGAUGUUUAACUAUCGGGUCCACUACUUGAGUGUCCAUCAAUAUGUUGACCUACAACAAAUAUAGCGAUCCUCCAUGUAUUAUUUAAGCUUUCUAAAGAAAGUGUUAUGGAAGCCUUCUGAAAGCCUUUUACAAUUCCACAACUCCGAAGAAAGUGUUUCUUAUCAAUGAGAUCACAAAAGACCAAGAACUCUAUACUAACCUCAAAGACGGCAAUGAAAAACUUGAUGGCCAAAUCAGCAAGCUGGAAACAAUCUUGAAAAUUAUUGGGAUUAACAUACCACACCAAGCUUCUGAUCUUCUCCAAGAUAUGUUGAAAGCAUGUUAAGGCAAAAAAAUACAAUCAAUUAUAUCCAUAUUUCUAAAGAAGUAAUAAUACUCAAUUUUUCUUUUAAUCUUGUUUGUUGUUCCAAUCAGGUCAAUAGCAGUGGACCUAAUUGGAACCACAAAUAACAAA
rnacentral:lncRNA from 1 species